UACGGAGGGAGCUAGCGUUGUUCGGAUUCAUUGGGCGUAAAGGGUGUGUAGGUGGCGCCGUAAGUCGGGUGUGAAAUUUCGGAGCUUAACUCCGAAACUGCAUUCGAUACUGCGGUGCUUGAGGACUGGAGAGGAGACUGGAAUUCAUGGUGUAGCAGUGAAAUGCGUAGAGAUCAUGAGGAAGACCAGUGGCGAAGGCGGGUCUCUGGACAGUUCCUGACACUGAGACACGAAGGCCAGGGGAGCAAACGGG
rnacentral:rRNA from 1 species